GCUCAGGAUGAACGCUAGCUACAGGCUUAACACAUGCAAGUCGAGGGGUAGCAGGGUAGCAAUACCGCUGACGACCGGCGCACGGGUGAGUAACACGUAUCCAACCUUCCCAUAACUCGGGGAUAGCCUUUCGAAAGAAAGAUUAAUACCCGAUAGUACUUUUUUAGGGCAUCUUAGAAAAGUUAAAGAUUUAUUGGUUAUGGAUGGGGAUGCGUUCCAUUAGAUAGUUGGUGAGGUAACGGCUCACCAAGUCUUCGAUGGAUAGGGGUUCUGAGAGGAAGGUCCCCCACAUUGGUACUGAGACACGGACCAAACUCCUACGGGAGGCAGCAGUGAGGAAUAUUGGUCAAUGGGCGAGAGCCUGAACCAGCC
rnacentral:rRNA from 1 species